rnacentral:rRNA from 1 species
AUGCUCGACCCGCCCGAGCCCGACGAUGACGCCGCCCGACCGCCGCGCGCACCGGUCGCCGCCGCCUCGCCGAGAGGCCUCGUCCUCGCGUGCGCCGACCUGCUGCACCGCGGGGACCUCGACGGGGCGCGGCGCGCCGCGGGCGCCGUGCUCUCCGGUGCCGACCCCCGGGGAGACGCGGCCGACCGCCUCGCGCACCACUUCGCGCGCGCGCUCGCUCUACGGGCCGACGAGGGACGAAGUAGCGUUGGCCCGCUGGGCGUGGGCGUGGCGCCUGCAUCGUCCGCGGUGCACCUGGCGUACAACAAGAUCGCGCCGUUCCUGCGCUUCGCGCACCUGACUGCCAACCAGGCGAUCCUGGAGGCCGCUGCCGGCGCGCGGCGCGUGCACAUCGUGGACCUCGACGCCGCACACGGCGUGCAGUGGCCGCCGCUCCUUCAGGCCAUCGGCGACCGCGCUGACGCCGCCGUCGGCCCGCCCGAGGUCAGGAUCACCGGCGCCGGCCCCGACCUCGAUGUGCUCCUUCGCACCGGCGACCGCCUCCGCGCCUUCGCCAGCUCCCUCAACCUCCCAUUCCGCUUCCACCCGCUGCUCCUCCCCUGCACGGCUCAGCUUGCCGCCGACCCGGCCGCCUGCCUUGAGCUGCACCCGGACGAGACUCUGGCCGUCAACUGCGUGCUAUUCCUCCACAGGCUCUCCGGCGACGGUGAGCUCACCGCAUUCUUGAGGUGGGUCCGUUCGAUGAACCCCGCCGUGGUGACCAUCGCCGAGAGGGAAGGCGAAGCCGGCCGAGGAGAGGACGACGACGAGUUACCGCGGCGGGUGGCCGCGGCGAUGGACUUCUACUCGGCGGUGUUCGACGCGCUGGAGGCCACGAUGCCGCCGGGCAGCGCGGAACGGUUGGCGGUGGAGCAGGAGAUCCUCGGCACGGAGAUCGACGCGGUGGUGGCUGGCCCCGGCAGCGGCGGUGGGCGGCCCCGCAGCUUCGAAGCGUGGACGGCCGCCGCGCGCGCUGCGGGGCUCUCGCCGUGGCCGGCCAGCACGUUCGCGGUGUCGCAGGCGCGGCUGUUGCUGCGGCUACACUACCCGUCGGAGGGGUAUGCGGCGGAGGAGGCCCGCGGCGCGUGCUUCCUCGGCUGGCAGACGCGGACGCUCAUGUCGGUCUCUUCGUGGCACUAG